AGAUCGGGAAUAGGAGUAUAUCGAACUCCUAGUACUGCAUCAGGAUAGUCGGUAAAUAGCUCAUUUCAUUGAGGACUACAAUUGGAUUGGCAUCCUCAAAAUAUGUAGGUU